UUAGUUUUUUGGUUCUGGCUCAGAGUGAACGCUGGCGGUAGGCCUAACACAUGCAAGUCGAACGGCAGCACAGGAGAGCUUGCUCUCUGGGUGGCGAGUGGCGGACGGGUGAGGAAUACAUCGGAAUCUACUCUGUCGUGGGGGAUAACGUAGGGAAACUUACGCUAAUACCGCAUACGACCUACGGGUGAAAGCAGGGGAUCUUCGGACCUUGCGCGAUUGAAUGAGCCGAUGUCGGAUUAGCUAGUUGGCGGGGUAAAGGCCCACCAAGGCGACGAUCCGUAGCUGGUCUGAGAGGAUGAUCAGCCACACUGGAACUGAGACACGGUCCAGACUCCUACGGGAGGCAGCAGUGGGGAAUAUUGGACAAUGGGCGCAAGCCUGAUCCAGCCAUACCGCGUGGGUGAAGAAGGCCUUCGGGUUGUAAAGCCCUUUUGUUGGGAAAGAAAUCCAGCUGGCUAAUACCC
rnacentral:rRNA from 1 species